GACGAACGCUGGCGGCGUGCCUAAUACAUGCCAGUUGAGCGCUGAAGGUUGGUACUUGUACCGACUGGAUGAGCAGCGAACGGGUGAGUAACGCGUGGGGAAUCUGCCUUUGAGCGGGGGACAACAUUUGGAAACGAAUGCUAAUACCGCAUAAAAACUUUAAACACAAGUUUUAAGUUUGAAAGAUGCAAUUGCAUCACUCAAAGAUGAUCCCGCGUUGUAUUAGCUAGUUGGUGAGGUAAAGGCUCACCAAGGCGAUGAUACAUAGCCGACCUGAGAGGGUGAUCGGCCACAUUGGGACUGAGACACGGCCCAAACUCCUACGGGAGGCAGCAGUAGGGAAUCUUCGGCAAUGGACGAAAGUCUGACCGAGCAACGCCGCGUGAGUGAAGAAGGUUUUCGGAUCGUAAAACUCUGUUGGUAGAGAAGAACGUUGGUGGGAGUGGAAAGCUCAUCAAGUGACGGUAACUACCCAGAAAGGGACGGCUAACUACGUG
rnacentral:rRNA from 1 species